rnacentral:rRNA from 1 species
GACGAACGCUGGCGGCUUGCUUAACACAUGCAAGUCGAACGGAAAGGCCCUGCUUUUGUGGGUUGCUCGAGUGGCGAACGGGUGAGUAACACGUUAGUAACCUGCCCUUUACUUUGGGAUAACUUCAGGAAACUGGGGCUAAUACCGGAUAGGAGCUCCUGCUGCAUGGUGGGGGUUGGAAAGUUUCGGCGGUUGGGGAUGGACUCGCGGCUUAUCAGCUUGUUGGUGGGGUAGUGGCUUACCAAGGCUUUGACGGGUAGCCGGCCUGAGAGGGUGACCGGCCACAUGGGGACUGAGAUACGGCCCAGAAUCCUACGGGAGGCAGCAGUGGGGAAUAUUGCACAAUGGGCGGAAGCCUGAGGCAGAAACGCCGCGUGCGGGAUGACGGCCUUCGGGUUGUAAACCGCUUUCGCAUGUGACGAAGCGUGAGUGACGGUAAUGGGUAAAGAAGCACCGGCUAACUACGUG